rnacentral:lncRNA from 1 species
GUGUGUGCUCAGCCCAGGACUGAAUGCACAGCAGGCUGUCAGGAAGUAGUCAUGGAUUGAUGUGUCCGUAUUCGCCAUAACCAAGCAGGAGAUAGAUGAUUUCGUUCUGGUCUCUGGAUUUUGGCUGCAUUUUCUCUCAUAGUAGGAAUUAUUCCCGGAAGAUCCAAAUGCUCAGCUUUGUCCUCCUCUCAUCCUGGUGAGGCGUGUGAUCCAGCUGACCAUACUCCCUGGAGCCUUCUCCCGAGGUGCGCGGGUGACCUUGGCACAUACAGCCAUCAUGAUGGUACUUUAAGUGGAGGCUGAAUCAUCUCCCCUUUGAGCUGCUUGGCACGUGGCUCCCUUGGUGUUCCCCUUUUACUGCCAGGACACUGAGAUUUGGAGAGAAUCCUGUUACACCUGGGAUUUAGGCACUUUCAAUCUGAAAAAAUACAUAUCCUUUCAGCACUCUGGACGGACUUGAGAACUGUCCUUACGUGACCUAAAGCUGGAGUAUUUUGAGAUUGGAGAAUUAAGAGCCAGUCUUGGUGCUCUGUGUUCACCUGGUUCAUCUGAGGAGCUGCAUCUACCCUGCCCAUGCCAUAGAUCCUGCCCUGUUUGCUUCUCCUGUUGCUGCUAGUGGACAUGAGAAGGACAGAAUAACGGGCUCCCAGAUUCACAAGCCCCACCAAGAGGAUCACCCCAGGAACGCUUGGAGGCUGAGGAGUUCACUGAGGCUACUGCAUCUUGAGACUCAGGAUGAAGACCCAGCUUGGGGCUGUCAAAGGUUUUUUGCAUGUCUGACACCCAUGACUCCACCUGGACCUUAUGGCUCCACCCAGAAGCAAUUCAGCCCAACAGGAGGACAGCUUCAACCCAUUACGAUUUCAUCUCUGCCCCAACCACUCAGCAGCAAGCACCUGUUACCUGUCCACCCCCACCCCUUCCCCCAAACUGCCUUUGAAAAAUCCCUAACCUAUGAGCUUUGAAUAAGAUGAGUACGAACUUCAUCGCCCACGUGGCGUGGCCGGCCUCGUGUCUAUUAAAUUCUUUUUCUACUACAA